rnacentral:rRNA from 1 species
CCUACGGGAGACUGCAGUCGAGAAUCAUUCACAAUGGGGGAAACCCUGAUGGUGCGACGCCGCGUGGGGGAAUGAAGGUCUUCGGAUUGUAAACCCCUGUCAUGUGGGAGCAAAUUAAAAAGAUAGUACCACAAGAGGAAGAGACGGCUAACUCUGUGCCAGCAGCCGCGGUAAUACAGAGGUCUCAAGCGUUGUUCGGAAUCACUGGGCGUAAAGCGUGCGUAGGCUGUUUCGUAAGUCGUGUGUGAAAGGCGGGGGCUCAACCCGCGGACGGCACAUGAUACUGCGAGACUAGAGUAAUGGAGGGGGAACCGGAAGUCUCGGUGUAGCAGUGAAAUGCGUAGAUAUCGAGAGGAACACUCGUGGCGAAGGCGGGUUCCUGGACAUUAACUGACGCUGAGGCACGAAGGCCAGGGGAGCGAAAGGGAUUAGAUACCCGUGUAGUC